GGAACGGGCCGCGCAGAAAGGCUGCGUGUCUAGGGGGUUAGGGGGGUACUGUCCACUCUGACACAAGCCCAACUGGGGGAAGGUGGUUGAGUUUCGGGUUAGUAGAAGAGAAAGUUGAUUGUGAAUGUGUUGCGGUACUUAGUUACGUUGUCUUAUUUCUUAAUAUUUCGGAUGUUUGUUUUAGCUUUGUAAAUAGCAAAAAGAUAUUGAAUAAUUUGAAUUAUUCUUGUUUAUUUUGUCAUUGAAGUAUUUGGAUUUUAAUUUACUGUAUCGUGUGCACAAGGUUUUUGAUUAUGAAUUAUAAUUACUUUCAGGGAAAUUAAAAGAUGUAUAGAAAUAAAUGUUUCCAUUAAAACAAUAUAAUUGUGUUGUGAUGGCAGAGCUACUCACUGACUAAGCCUGAAUAUAUGUACCAACAUAACUCAAAUUACACAUUUUCUACAGGCACAGAUGUCAUGCUUUUUAAUUUUAGCAUACCUUGUAUUUCAAAUGUCGCUACCUACCAAAAAACUGAUUUAUAUAUUACCUCAUAGAUGUGUCCAUUCAGUUUUUAUGGACUCUCUUAUGCAAUGCAGCAUGUUACGAUCUAUAUUUUAUUUGUUUUUAAUUUGACGUGGUAAUAUGAGUUACAUAAUGGGUACAUUUAUUCUUCUAUGAUUUCUUACACUAUGGAAAGAAGUGAAUUAUUGCAGUCAACGAUUCAUAUUUUGAUAAUUCUGUCUGAAGAAAUGGCAUUCAAUAAAUAUGUACUGUAUAUGUUUUGUUGUUUAAAUUUCAAAGCCCUGAACAUUCAUGUAUCUACCCGGUGCACAACAAUACACAAUGCCCCAUGCUGUUGAAGUUGCUUGGCAACAGAGAGGUGCUGAUGUUAUUUCCUUAAAACCUAUGAUGAAUCUUCGCUUCUGAUCUCCAUCUCGUUUUCUCUCUAACACACUUUUUUGUCAGUGUUUUCUGAUGUUAAUAUUUACAGGAUUUUGACAGUCAAUUAGCAUUUAUGCAUUAAGCACAGAGUGGUCUCCCCAUAAGUGAGGUAUGUGUAUAAUUUGCUCUUCAAAAAAAUGUGUAUUCAAUAACCAUAAUUCCC
ensembl:lncRNA